GAAAUGGUGGCACUAGGCUCCAUGAACAUUACUGGUUCUUUUACAAGUUGUUAUGUGGCCACAUGGUCAUUAAGCAACAUUCUAUUCAUGGAACUUCUGUAUAGGCGCAAGUUUGUCUAAAUUUUAACCUUUUGAUAUGUUUAUAAGUUGUACACAAAAUGUUAAGAAACACAAGUUGGGUUGAACGUUUUAGCUUGUUAGGAAAAACAAUCCAAGGCGGAUUGGCUUGAUUAGUUUUGAGCUUAUGGUUGUGCUUUUGUUAGCUUGGCGCAGUUCGUUUUGUUUACAUCUUUUUAAAACUCUUUAAAUCCCCAUUACCGGUUUUGAAGUACCUUAACCAAAAAUUAAGAUUUUAGUUAUGACCCAAGUAAACAGAACCUUCUCAUGCACACCCUUAGAUUUACUAACAAGUGU
rnacentral:lncRNA from 1 species